ACUCCUACGGGAGGCAGCAGUGGGGAAUCUUGCGCAAUGGGCGAAAGCCUGACGCAGCGACGCCGCGUGCGGGAUGAAGGCCUUCGGGUUGUAAACCGCUUUCAGGAGGGACGAAAUUGACGGUACCUCCAGAAGAAGCCCCGGCCAACUACGUGCCAGCAGCCGCGGUAACACGUAGGGGGCAAGCGUUGUCCGGAUUUAUUGGGCGUAAAGAGCUCGUAGGCGGCUUAGUAAGUCGGGUGUGAAACCUCCAGGCUCAACCUGGAGACGCCACCCGAUACUGCUGUGGCUAGAGUCCGGUAGGGGAGCGUGGAAUUCCUGGUGUAGCGGUGAAAUGCGCAGAUAUCAGGAGGAACACCAGCGGCGAAGGCGGCGCUCUGGGCCGGUACUGACGCUGAGGAGCGAAAGCGUGGGGAGCAAACAGGAUUAGAUACCCUGGUAGUCCACGCCGUAAACGUUGGGCACUAGGUGUGGGUCGUUAUCAACGCGAUC
rnacentral:rRNA from 1 species